GACGAACGCUGGCGGCGUGCCUAAUACAUGCAAGUAGAACGCUGAAGAGAGGGGCUUGCUCUUCUUGGAUGAGUUACGAACGGGUGAGUAACGCGUAGGUAACCUGCCUUGUAGCGGGGGAUAACUAUUGGAAACGAUAGCUAAUACCGCAUAACAAUGGAUGACUCAUGUCAUUUAUUUGAAAGGGGCAAAUGCUCCACUACAAGAUGGACCUGCGUUGUAUUAGCUAGUAGGUGAGGUAACGGCUCACCUAGGCGACGAUACAUAGCCGACCUGAGAGGGUGAUCGGCCACACUGGGACUGAGACACGGCCCAGACUCCUACGGGAGGGAGCAGUAGGGAAUCUUCGGCAAUGGGGGCAACCCUGACCGAGCAACGCCGCGUGAGUGAAGAAGGUUUUCGGAUCGUAAAGCUCUGUUGUAAGUCAAGAACGAGUGUGAGAGUGGAAAGUUCACACUGUGACGGUAGCUUACCAGAAAGGGACGGCUAACUACGUGCCAGCCGCCGCAGUAA
rnacentral:rRNA from 1 species